rnacentral:misc_RNA from 1 species
UAUAUUUUGAAUUUCCGAUAUUAUGUUGUCGUUGAAAACAUAUCGGUAUAUGUGCGAUAAAAAGAAAUAAUAAUAAAAAAAUACAUUUAUGAUAAACAGUAUCAACAGUCGGAAAUGUACCGAAGGAGGAUGGUUUGGAGAAGAACUAUGAAGAUAAAUGCUCCUUUUGUAAAAAAAAAAGAUAAUAUCGCGUUAUAUAGGUGAUGGGGAUUCUCGAGCGCAAUCGCAGAUGAAGAAAAUACAGCGCGGGCGCGAUGCACCUUCAAUUCGAGCUUUUAGUCCGCCCCCAUGAGAACCUACUCUUUAGUACUUCGGGUGCUACCGGAGCGCAUUACCACGAAGAUCGUUCUUAAAUCGAUUUCUUUUUUUUUUUCUUUUGACGCGAGAGAACUAUAGAAUAUAAAUAAUUAUUUUCUCGAUUAGUAAUUAUCUCAAAUUGAUUUGACACGCGACACAUUUUAUUACAACUCGUGAUUUUUCCUUUUAUUAAUUAACACAUGCGAUCAUACGGUUCAUGAUUACGGACUUUAAACGAUCGAACGAUCAUUUCUCCUCGAUCGGUGAAAGUUCAAUCUCGUCGACCGCAUAUAUCGUUGCGGUGAAAUGUGCAAAAAAAAGAAAUAUCUCUCGAUGUCUGCCUUAAGUUCGAAGACGUAUCAUUUUGAGAAGAGAAACGUGAGAAGGCACGGAUCGUGAUUCGUUCAAAAAAUAAUUGUCAAUUUCGACGGGAGAUUAAUAUCUUCGUUGUAAGAUGCAAAGGAUUAUUUAAAAAUGCCUAGCAAUUCCGAAAAGCUCGAAAAUCCAUGAGCAAAGAUGAACGAUAGUCGAAUAUAAAAAAUGGCACCAUUCCACGGCAUGGUCCUACUGUUGCUAGGAAUCGGUUACCUGUUACACGCGGAACCAACUUUCAGUCAUCGCGAUAUAGGCAUAAUCGCGGACGAUGUUAGAUCGAGUCGCAGAGAAGAUCACGAAUACCCACCAAUUGUAGCACAUUUUUAUGACGAACAUCUCGACAAGGAGAUGCUCAAGACAUUUCGUACGAAAAGGCACACGUAUUUUUCCGAUGAUCUUGCUGAAAACGUGACGGUUGCCGUUGGCCAAUCCGCCGUUUUGUCGUGUCGAGUAGAGAAUUUAGAAAACAGGACCGUAUCUUGGAUGAGAAAAAAAGACGUACGGAUCUUAACGUCUAUGAAGACGACUUAUACCGCCGACAAGAGAUUCGUGAUAAUCGGUAAAUCGCCAAACUGGGACCUUCAAAUAGAUUCCGUACAACCGGAGGAUGCUGGUAUUUACGAGUGUCAAGUUAAUACCGAGCCAAAGAUGGACAGAGCGGUCAAUUUGAAGGUUUUGGACGUACAAGCCAAAAUCCUUGGUUCCGAAGAGGUAUACGUGAAGAAAGGAAGUAAAAUAAGUUUGACGUGUACCGUCGACAUGCAGGACGUCCCACCGAGCAACGUGACUUGGUAUCACGCUGGUUCGAUCAUCGACUUUGAUAGUCCAAGGGGUGGCGUUUCUCUGGAAACUGAAAAGGGCAAGAGCUUUACCAAGAGCAUGCUGGUAAUAACGCGCGCGUUACUCAACGACAGCGGCAAUUACACGUGCUUCUCGAACAAGGCUGCACCAGCUAGCGUAGUGGUUCAUGUGUUGAACGGGGAACAUCCUGCGGCGAUGCAACACGGAGGCAGCGACAGUGUCAACAGAAGGAUAAUCUUGUUCCUUGCGAUCGUUAUUCCGAUCGUGAUAUUUCGGGCAAAAGAAAAACUCUGACGAAAUUGUCGAUCACCAAUGGGAUCCCCCAUCGUUUUCAAUUUCAUUAUCGAGGUGAUCGAUUAAAGAUACCAAAGUAUCAAAACACGUAUCGCCUGGAACCCUUCAAAUUUUUUCACAUCGAGACGGUCGACGUUAUCGUUCGUAACGCCCUAG